AGGGAAGCCCUGGUAGUGAGAGUAACGCUUACUCGGACAUUCGAGGGGCUCGCUGCAUUGACGAAGGGAAGCCCCCUUCCGGGGAGCACCGCUUUCACGUGCACUGUAAAGGCUCGCCAGGUAGCCGGAGCGGAUACAGUCGAGGCAACGCCCGCUGCUUACCUGGCUCAUGAACUGAUGUCCCGUGCCGUGCAUGCUG
rnacentral:lncRNA from 1 species